AUAAUCAUUUGCCUUAUAAUUGAAGGCUAGUAUGAAUGGUUUAACGAGAGCAGCACUGUCUCUUUUUUAUUUUCAAGAACUUAACUUUUAGGUGAAGAGGCCUAAAUCUUAUUGAAGGACAAGAAGACCCUGUCGAGCUUAAAAGAUAUUGUAGAUGUUAAAAUAUAUUUUUUAGAUAAGUUUCUAUUAAGCUUUUUAGUUGGGGCGACUAAGGAACAAAAAAAGCUUCUUUAUUAAAAAUAAAUAGCCAUAUCUAGAUCCGAUACUAAUCGACUAAAGAAAUUAGUUACCGCAGGGAUAACAGCAUAAUCUCUCUUGAGAGAUCUAAUCGAAAGAGGGGGUUGUGACCUCGAUGUUGGACUAGAAUAUCCUAAAGAUGCAGAAGUCUUUAAGGGUCGGUCUGUUCGACCGUUAAAAUUCU
rnacentral:rRNA from 1 species